UUGGACCUGAUAUCAGGCA
rnacentral:rRNA from 11 species